rnacentral:rRNA from 1 species
GAUCCUGGCUCAGGAUGAACGCUAGCUACAGGCUUAACACAUGCAAGUCGAGGGGAAACGACAUCGAAAGCUUGCUUUUGAUGGGCGUCGACCGGCGCACGGGUGAGUAACGCGUAUCCAACCUGCCCACCACUUGGGGGAUAACCUUGCGAAAGUAAGACUAAUACCCAAUGACGUCUCUAGAAGACAUCUGAAAGAGAUUAAAGAUUUAUCGGUGAUGGAUGGGGAUGCGUCUGAUUAG